rnacentral:rRNA from 1 species
UGAACGCUGGCGGUCUGCUUAACACAUGCAAGUCGAACGGAGUAGAAAUACUUAGUGGCGGACGGGUGAGUAACGCGUGAGAAUCUACCUUCAGGACGGAGACAACAGUUGGAAACGACUGCUAACCCCCGAUGUACCGAAAGGGCAAAUAUUUAUAGCCUGAAGAAGAGCUCGCGUCCGAUUAGCUAGUUGGAGAGGUAAAAGCUCACCAAGGCGACGAUCGGUAGCUGGUCUGAGAGGACGAUCAGCCACACUGGGACUGAGACACGGCCCAGACUCCUACGGGAGGCAGCAGUGGGGAAUUUUCCGCAAUGGGCGAAAGCCUGACGGAGCAAGACCGCGUGGGGGAAGAAGGCUCUUGGGUUGUAAACCCCUUUUCUCUGGGAAGAACACAAUGACGGUACCAGAGGAAUCAGCAUCGGCUAACUCCGUGCCAGCAGCCGCGGUAAGACGGAGGAUGCAAGCGUUAUCCGGAAUGAUUGGGCGUAAAGCGUCCGCAGGUGGCAGUUCAAGUCUGCUGUCAAAGACCGGGGCUUAACCUCGGAAAGGCAGUGGAAACUGAACAGCUAGAGUAUGGUAGGGGCAAAGGGAAUUCCUGGUGUAGCGGUGAAAUGCGUAGAGAUCAGGAAGAACAUCGGUGGCGAAAGCGCUUUGCUGGACCAUAACUGACACUCAGGGACCAAAGCUAGGGGAGCGAAUGGGAUUAGAUACCCCGGUAGUCCUAUUCGUAAACGAUGGAUACUAGGUGUUGUCUGUAUCGACCCCGACAGUGCCGUAGCUAACGCGUUAAAUAUCCCGCCUGGGGAGUACGCACGCGAGUGUGAGACUCAAAGGAAUUGACGGGGGCCCGCACAAGCGAUGGAGUAUGUGGUUUAAUUCGAUGCAACGCGAAGAACCUUACCAGGACUUGACAUGUCGCGAAUUUUCUGGAAAGGGAAGAGUGCCUUCCGGAGCGCGAACACAGGUGGUGCAUGGCUGUCGUCGGCUCGUGUCGUGAGAUGUUGGGUUAAGUCCCGCAACGAGCGCAACCCUCGUGUUUAGUUGCCAUCAUUAAGUUGGGCACUCUAAACAGACUGCCGGUGACAAACCGGAGGAAGGUGGGGAUGACGUCAAGUCAGCAUGCCCCUUACGUCCUGGGCUACACACGUACUACAAUGGUAGGGACAGAGGGCAGCCAACCCGCGAGGGCGAGCUAAUCCCGUAAACCCUGCCUCAGUUCAGAUUGCAGGCUGCAACUCGCCUGCAUGAAGGCGGAAUCGCUAGUAAUCGCAGGUCAGCAUACUGCGGUGAAUCCGUUCCCGGGCCUUGUACACACCGCCCGUCACACCAUGGAAGUUGGCCACGCCCGAAGUCAUUACUCUAACCCUUCGGGGGGGAGGAUGCCGAAGGCAGGGCUGAUGACUGGGGUGAAGUCGUAACAAGGUAGCCGUACCGGAAGGUGUGGCUGGAUCACCUCCUUUUAGGGAGACCAUCUGAAAAACUACCGAACCUAAACAAGAA